rnacentral:rRNA from 1 species
UAAGCAGGUAGUGAAAUGACAAGGCUCAACCUUGUGUCCAUUGCCUGAACUGCUCAGCUAGAGCAUGAAAGAGGUAGCUGGAAUUUCUAGUGUAGGAGUGAAAUCCGUAGAUAUUAGAAGGAACACCGAUGGCGUAGGCAGGCUACUGGUUCAUUGCUGACGCUCAGGCACGAAAGCGUGGGGAGCGACCGGGAUUAGAUACCCCGUUAGUCCACGCCGUAAACGAUGGAUGCUA